UUCCGGUUGAUCCUGCCGGACCUGACUGCUAUCGGAUUGAUACUAAGCCAUGCGAGUCAUUGUAGCAAUACAAGGCAUACGGCUCAGUAACGCGUAGUCAACCUAACCUAUGGACGGGAAUAACCUCGGGAAACUGAGAAUAAUGCCCGAUAGAACAUUAUACCUGGAAUGGUUUAUGUUCCAAAUGAUUUAUCGCCGUAGGAUGGGACUGCGGCCUAUCAGUUUGUUGGUGAGGUAAUGGCCCACCAAGACUAUUACAGGUACGGGCUCUGAGAGGAGUAGCCCGGAGAUGGGUACUGAGACACGGACCCAGGCCCUAUGGGGCGCAGCAGGCGAGAAAACUUUGCAAUGUGCGAAAGCACGACAAGGUUAAUCCGAGUGAUUUCUGCUAAAGAAAUCUUUUGUUAGUCCUAGAAACACUAACGAAUAAGGGGUGGGCAAGUUCUGGUGUCAGCCGCCGCGGUAAAACCAGCACCUCAAGUGGUCAGGAUGAUUAUUGGGCCUAAAGCAUCCGUAGCCGGCUCUGUAAGUUUUCGGUUAAAUCUGUACGCUUAACGUACAGGCCGCCGGGAAUACUGCAAAGCUAGGGAGUGGGAGAAGUAGACGGUACUCGGUAGGAAGUGGUAAAAUGCUUUGAUCUAUCGAUGACCACCUGUGGCGAAGGCGGUCUACUAGAACACGUCCGACGGUGAGGGAUGAAAGCUGGGGGAGCAAACCGGAUUAGAUACCCGGGUAGUCCCAGCUGUAAACGAUGCAGACUCGGUGAUGCAUUGGCAUAUAGCCAGUGCAGUGUCGCAGGGAAGCCGUUAAGUCUGCCGCCUGGGAAGUACGUACGCAAGUAUGAAACUUAAAGGAAUUGGCGGGGGAGCACCACAAGGGGUGAAGCCUGCGGUUCAAUUGGAUUCAACGCCGGG
rnacentral:rRNA from 1 species